CCUACGGGAGGCAGCAGUGAGGAAUAUUGGUCAAUGGGCGCGAGCCUGAACCAGCCAAGUAGCGUGAAGGAUGACUGCCCUACGGGUUGUAAACUUCUUUUAUAAAGGAAUAAAGUGAGGCACGUGUGCCUUUUUGUAUGUACUUUAUGAAUAAGGAUCGGCUAACUCCGUGCCAGCAGCCGCGGUAAUACGGAGGAUCCGAGCGUUAUCCGGAUUUAUUGGGGUUAAAGGGAGCGUAGGUGGGUUGUUAAGUCAGUUGUGAAAGUUUGGGGCUCAACCGUAAAAUUGCAAUUGAAACUGGCAGGCUUGAGUACAGUCGAGGUAAGAGGAAUUCGUGGUGUAGCGGUGAAAUGCGUAGAUAUCACGAAGAACUCCGAUUGCGAAGGCAGCUUACUAGACUGCCACUGACACUGAUGCUCGAAAGUGUAGGUAUCAAACAGGAUUAGAUACCCGGGUAGUC
rnacentral:rRNA from 1 species